rnacentral:rRNA from 1 species
CGGGGCCAGGCCUAGAGUUUCGUGUAGGGGAAGAUCGGGAAUUCCCUGGGUGUAGCCGGUGAAAAUGCCGCAGAAUAUCAGGAAGAAACCACCGGGUGGGCGAAAGGCGGAUUCUUGGGGCCCGAAUACUGACCGUGGAGGAGAGAAAAGCGUGGGGAGGCGACCCAGGUUUAAGAUCCCCGGGGUAGUCCCGCCCGGAAAACCGGUGGCCCACUAGGGUGUGCGCCACUUUCCAAGUUCUUCCCGUCCCCACAGCAACCGCUAUAAAGCCCCCCCCCGGGGGAAGCACGGCCCACAAGGAAAAAUCUCAAAAGGAAUUGAGGGGGCCCCCCCACAAGGGGGCGGAGCAUGUGGUCUUAUUUGGACCCCACCGCGAAGACCCUUACCAAGGCUUGACAUACACCGGAAACGUCUGGAGACAGGCGCCCCCUUGUGGUCGGUGUACAGGUGGUGCAUGGCUGUCGUCAGCUCGUGUCGUGAGAUGUUGGGUUAAGUCCCGCAACGAGCGCAACCCUUGUCCCGUGUUGCCAGCAGGCCCUUGUGGUGCUGGGGACUCACGGGAGACCGCCGGGGUCAACUCGGAGGAAGGUGGGGACGACGUCAAGUCAUCAUGCCCCUUAUGUCUUGGGCUGCACACGUGCUACAAUGGCCGGUACAAUGAGCUGCGAUACCGCGAGGUGGAGCGAAUCUCAAAAAGCCGGUCUCAGUUCGGAUUGGGGUCUGCAACUCGACCCCAUGAAGUCGGAGUCGCUAGUAAUCGCAGAUCAGCAUUGCUGCGGUGAAUACGUUCCCGGGCCUUGUACACACCGCCCGUCACGUCACGAAAGUCGGUAACACCCGAAGCCGGUGGCCCAACCCCUGUGGGAGGGAG